AGUUACCAAAACUUGAUAUGCUUGGUAUGAAAAAUUCAGACUCUGUAGAAAUAUAAUAACUUGGCAUUGACCUCUGCCCUACAAUCUCUCUCUCUAGAGAUAACUGUUGUGAACAGUUUAGUGUUGAAUCAAAGGACCUAGUGCUUCUUUCUUGAACAUGACAGAAAGAAAAAAAUUCCAAAGAACAUGGCCCAAAGGAAAACAGACCACAAAAUUUAAGGAGUCUCAGCUUGCUGGGUUAUGAGAUCCUUCUUUGGGGCGGACCACUUACGCCUUGGCCUUGACUUCUGCUAUCUGCGUUGGAAGAAAAGCCUAAGACAGGCCGGCUUCCCCGGAAGUAGAUGCUGACAACAAGAGUCCAGCACAAGCUGUUUACUCGAGAAGGAGCCGCGCGAGAGACACCUCGAGAAAGUGGUUUUGAGGAAGCGUUUCCACUCGCUCCUGCGUGGAAUCUUCCCACCAGAGUUGCUAACAAACUGAACGUACGACUGACUGGGGUGAUGCAUCCUCUUUCUUCGUGCUCCUCACCUCCCGCCCCCCUCAUUUCUGCUGGAGAAUUGGAAAAGCGUGAAAUGCCCCCCAGAGUGAAGAACACAGCACAGGGGACUCUGGGUAAUCCACCCCUGCCCGCUGUAAGGACACGCUACCCAGUCCCGGAUCAUAGCCUUUUCUCUUCUUUACAACUCCGCGAGGAAACUUACGGUCGGGAGGAAAACGACAAAAACAAAAAAACAAACUAGGAAGAAAUACACCAUAGCAAUUACUGGCUGGAAGGUGGUGGAAUUACGGAUAUUUUUCUUUUAUUCCAUAGUUGAAUGCGGUUCUAACUCUUUUACUUAAAUGUUUGUAGUAAGACUAUUUUUCUACUUUUCUGUAUGCUUAAAUAUUU